AUGGCAGAACAUUGCAAGCUUGCCGCUGCCAUGGUACUAGCUGAAUCUGAGGAAAGGUCAUAUGUGGUAAAGGUAGAUGGAUACUCAAGAAUAAAGGGGCUACUGAAGAACGGGGAGUUCGCCAUUUCUACCCCUUUCAGUGUUGGAGGCCACAACUGGAGCGUGGAAUAUUACCCCAACGGUUACCCCGAGGAUUGUUCUGAUUUCAUAUCUCUUUAUCUAUUUCAUGAAGCUGCCGAUGCCGGAGAUGUGAAGGCCAAAUUCACGGUCAGUGUACUUGACAAGAAUGGAGAACCGGUGCCUUCAUACAGCCGUACCUCCGACCCUGUAACCUUCUCAAAGGAGGUUUCGUAUUGUGGUUACGAUGACUUCAUCAAGAAGGCUGAUUUGGAGGCAUCAGCGCAUCUGAGAGACCAUUGUUUCACCAUCAGGUUCGAUGUCACCGUCAUCAAGGACAUCCACGGUGAAGAAAAAUCGGUUCCUCCAAGCGACCUGCAUCGGCAUUUCGGCGACAUGCUCAAGAACAAGGAUGCAGCCGACCUCACCUUUAAGGUUGGGGGACAGGAAUUCUCUGCUCACAGAUGUGUCCUUGCUGCUCGCUCACCCGUCUUCAAGGCAUUGCUCCUCGGCGCCAUGGAGGAGAGCUCCAGUAGUACUAUCGAAAUUCAUGACAUGGAACCUGAUGUAUUCGAGUCCUUGCUCCAUUUUAUAUACACCGACUCCGCUCCUGUGCUUCAGAUGGCCAGGGAAAAAAGUGAACCAUGUGUAGAUGUGGUGAUGGCCGGCCAUCUACUUGUGGCGGCUGACAGGUACAAUAUUGCGAGGCUGAGGGUGAUACUUGAGGAGAAACUGUGCAGUCACAUUGAUUCCAACAUGGUGGCAACCAGCUUGGCUUUAGCUGAGCAGCAUGGUUUCCAUCGUCUCAAAGAAGCUUGUUUCCAGUUCCUCUCUUCUCCGCCCAAUUUGGAGGCAAUGAUGGCAAGUGAUGGGUAUGAGCACCUGAAAUCCAGCUGUCCAUCUGUUCUCAAGGAGCUGAUAGCUAGAAUCAUCCCAGCUGAAUGGAAAGCGGCAAAGGAUAUUAUCAUGGCAAUUUAG
rnacentral:rRNA from 1 species